AGUGAACGCCGGCGGUAGGCCUAACGCAUGCAAGUCGAACGGCAGCACAGUAAGAGCUUGCUCUUACGGGUGGCGAGUGGCGGACGGGUGAGGAAUACAUCGGAAUCUACUUUUUCGUGGGGGAUAACGUAGGGAAACUUACGCUAAUGCCGCAUACGACCUACGGGUGAAAGCAGGGGAUCUUCGGACCUUGCGCGAUUGAAUGAGCCGAUGUCGGAUUAGCUAGUUGGCGGGGUAAAGGCCCACCAAGGCGACGAUCCGUAGCUGGUCUGAGAGGAUGAUCAGCCACACUGGAACUGAGACACGGUCCAGACUCCUACGGGAGGCAGCAGUGGGGAAUAUUGGACAAUGGGCGCAAGCCUGAUCCAGCCAUACCGCGUGGGUGAAGAAGGCCUUCGGGUUGUAAAGCCCUUUUGUUGGGAAAGAAAAGCAGCAGGUUAAUACCCCGCUGUUCUGACGGUACCCAAAGAAUAAGCACCGGCUAACUUCGUG
rnacentral:rRNA from 1 species